rnacentral:rRNA from 1 species
AUAGCUUGCUAUCAGGCGUCGAGCGGCGGACGGGUGAGUAAUACUUAGGAAUCUACCUAGUAGUGGGGGAUAGCACGGGGAAACUCGUAUUAAUACCGCAUACGACCUACGGGAGAAAGGGGGCAGUUUACUGCUCUCGCUAUUAGAUGAGCCUAAGUCGGAUUAGCUAGAUGGUGGGGUAAAGGCCUACCAUGGCGACGAUCUGUAGCUGGUCUGAGAGGAUGAUCAGCCACACCGGGACUGAGACACGGCCCGGACUCCUACGGGAGGCAGCAGUGGGGAAUAUUGGACAAUGGGGGAAACCCUGAUCCAGCCAUGCCGCGUGUGUGAAGAAGGCCUUUUGGUUGUAAAGCACUUUAAGCAGUGAAGAAGACUCCGUGGUUAAUACCCACGGACGAUGACAUUAGCUGCAGAAUAAGCACCGGCUAACUCUGUGCCAGCAGCCGCGGUAAUACAGAGGGUGCAAGCGUUAAUCGGAAUUACUGGGCGUAAAGGGAGCGUAGGUGGCUCUAUAAGUCAGAUGUGAAAUCCCCGGGCUCAACCUGGGAACUGCAUCUGAAACUGUAGAGCUAGAGUAUGUGAGAGGAAGGUAGAAUUCCAGGUGUAGCGGUGAAAUGCGUAGAGAUCUGGAGGAAUACCGAUGGCGAAGGCAGCCUUCUGGCAUAAUACUGACACUGAGGCUCGAAAGCGUGGGUAGCAAACAGGAUUAGAUACCCUGGUAGUCCACGCCGUAAACGAUGUCUACUAGUCGUUGGGUCCCUUGAGGACUUAGUGACGCAGCUAACGCAAUAAGUAGACCGCCUGGGGAGUACGGCCGCAAGGUUAAAACUCAAAUGAAUUGACGGGGGCCCGCACAAGCGGUGGAGCAUGUGGUUUAAUUCGAUGCAACGCGAAGAACCUUACCUGGUCUUGACAUAUCUAGAAUCCUGCAGAGAUGCGGGAGUGCCUUCGGGAAUUAGAA